AGGACAUUCCGUUGGGCUAGAGAGGGAGAACCACUCAGCUGGCUUAAUGAAAGACACAGGUGUGGGACUUUGCCAGCAAAUGCAAGCCUGGAGCCACCACACAGCAGAGAGGAGUAGGAACCCAGAGUAUGGAAGCCCCUUCCUCUCCUGCACCAAGUCACUCACAGCACCAUGACGGGCAGCAGUAGAAGGAUUAGAAACCACACCGCCCUGCUAGGAGUUGAACUUUUCUUCAACUGGCUCUUAAGCUGACCUGAGAUUGCACUAGUUGGAAGAUACCAAGAUACUCUUAAAAGAGAAGAUGAAGUUCUCAUGUUUCAACUCCUAUUACUGUUGACUGUCAACUUCCCAAAAGGCCCCGGAAAAACAUGUUAAUGGAACAAAACUAAGUUUAUUAGAUUUACUGUAGUAUAAGAGAAAACCACCUUGGUAGAGUCUUGAUAGUGCCUCAGGUUGACAAAGUCAGGGUCUGCACUGGGGGACUUCUAAGGUAGCUUCUGCAAGGUGGGGAGUAGCUUGGGACUGGGCAGGGUUUCUACCCUAACAAUUCUCAAUUGGUAAGCCCCGCAAGGCCAAGGAUCCUGAAGCAAAUCUAGAUAAGAAAGAUACUGGAUUUUAUAAGCUAGCUAUUUUAGUGGAUUUACUGUCUCAUUUUUGGUAAGCAAGUCUUCCUGAAGCAAGCAGCAGAGUCCUUUCAGCCACAAGUCUUAAUAGUUUGCGUGAGUGUUAAUCUGCUUCUCAUAGAGUCACCAUGAAACACACCUUAGACAGGUGAACUGGGAGUACCGCACACAGCAUGGCUUCCAGCCUGAAGUGACUGUAAAACGCCAGUGAAUAGAGAGGCUCAAGGCUGAGUAAAGGAUCCUGCACACUCAACAAGCUCAUCCUUCUCUGCACCCGAGUUGUUUAUAGAGUCCCAGUUACAGAGCUUUCAGAAGGUGGAAUUCGUCCACAGCACACUAUUGAUGCCUAUCGAAUCUAAGGAAAUUAACUAAGAAGGGAAGAAAUAAUCUUCAUAGAGGGAUUUGAGAACCCAGAAGACGGUAUGGGCCUGGCAGUGUGCAUGCUGCAAACUAUGCACCAUCACUGGCCUAAAACGCACCUCUGUGUGCAUCAUUUACUCACGUUUAAAAAUCACCCUCUACUUGUUCCCCUGUGACCCUCAUUGGACUAUAUCCAGACAGCACUAAAGUGAUAGCCAGAAAAAGUAGAAACAACCCAUGUGUUCAUCCACUGACGAAUGGAUCAAAACAUGUGGCGUGUCCAUCCAUACAAGGGGAUAUUACCCAGCAGUCAAAAGGAGCAAAGAACUGAUGUAUACCACACCAUGGCUGAUUCUCAACAGUAUGUUCAGUGAAAGAAACCAGUCACAAAAGCACAUGUACUGUAUGGUUCUAUUUAUAUGAACUGCUUGGAGGAGGCACCUAGUGGUUGCCAGGGGCUUGGGGUGGGGGUGGAGGGCAGGAAUGGGGAAUGCCUGCCCCCUCCAUGGGGUUUCUUUGUGGGGUGAUUAAAAUGUUCUAAAAUUGG